rnacentral:lncRNA from 1 species
GAAGCAGAACCUGAGACAAAGCUCUGCGUACAGGACUGCCAGGAAGAGAUGGGAAACAUUGAGCUGCGAUGCCGUCUUAAUGAAGAUUUCAGUCAACCCUGAGAGGAAUUUUUGAGCUGAGCUGACCCUUUGGAGUUAUCUCAAGUUGGGUAGAGGGAACCAGGCCUUUAUACCCUGGCUUGGAUCAGUCCCUGAUCACAGGCUGCCCCUGGAAAGAGGCAUGACUUUGGGACGGGCUAUUUUUUUCAGGUGAGGUGAUCCAGGGCGGACGGCUGAAAGCCACCUCUGGCGUUUGGAAAUAUUCCAUCAAUGCCAUAGAUCUUGAGGGAGAGUCAGUCACUCAAUCAGAAUGCGCUAUCAGGUGGUCAUGGAGAGAAUGCGAUGAUAGGCAUCUCACUUGUAGCCACUUCCAAAAUCUGAAAUGUACACCCUUUUAUAGGGAGCUGUCUGGUCUGGUGAUUAUUACAGCAUGGAUUAUCCUGUGCCACAGUUCCUCAAAGUAAGUAUUCAACUCAUCAGUUAAAAUCACAUCUUCACUUUGGGAGGCCGAGGCGGGCAGAUCACGAGGUCAGGAGAUCGAGACCAUCCUGGCCAAUAUGGUCAAACCCUGUCUCUACUAAAAUACAGAAAAUUAGCCCUAUGUGGUGGCACACGCCUGUAGUCCCAGCUACUUGGGAGGCUGAGGCAGGGGAAUCGCUUGAACCUGGGAGACAGNNNNNNNNNNNNNN